CUCCCUCUCUCUCUCUCUCUCUCUCUCUCUCUGUGUGUGUGUGUGUGUGAGAGAGAGAGAGAGAGAGAGAGAGAGAGAGAG